AGAGUUUGAUCAUGGCUCAGGACGAACGCUGGCGGCGUGCUUAAUACAUGCAAGUCGAACGAGAUCCAUCCAGUGGCAACACUGGGGACGAUCUAGUGGCGAACGGGUGAGUAACACGUGAGGAACCUGCCCCGAAGACCGGGAUAACUCUCCGAAAGGAGUGCUAAUACCGGAUGCCCCCACCAGGCCGCAUGACCAGGUGAGGAAAUGGAUUCCGCUUCGGGAGGGCCUCGCGGCCUAUCAGCUUGUUGGUGAGGUAACGGCUCACCAAGGCAUCGACGGGUAGCUGGUCUGAGAGGACGAUCAGCCACACUGGGACUGAGACACGGCCCAGACUCCUACGGGAGGCAGCAGUAGGGAAUCUUGCGCAAUGGGCGAAAGCCUGACGCAGCAACGCCGCGUGGGGGAUGAAGGCUCUCGGGUUGUAAACCCCUUUCAGUGGGGACGAAAUUGACGGUACCCACAGAAGAAGCCCCGGCCAACUACGUGCCAGCAGCCGCGGUAACACGUAGGGGGCAAGCGUUGUCCGGAUUUAUUGGGCGUAAAGAGCUCGUAGGCGGUUCGGUAAGUCGGGUGUGAAACCUCCAGGCUCAACCUGGAGUCGCCACUCGAUACUGCUGUGACUAGAGUCCGGUAGGGGAGCGUGGAAUUCCUGGUGUAGCGGUGAAAUGCGCAGAUAUCAGGAGGAACACCAGCGGCGAAGGCGGCGCUCUGGGCCGGAACUGACGCUGAGGAGCGAAAGCGUGGGUAGCAAACAGGAUUAGAUACCCUAGUAGUCC
rnacentral:rRNA from 1 species